AAGUCGUAACAAGGUUUCCGUAGGUGAACCUGCGGAAGGAUCAUUCACAAUAAGUGUUUGGUGAAUUGUGCAAGGGCAGCGCAGUCAACGAUCGGUGGUCCACACGGCCAUCGUCCGGGGGUCGCUACUCCCACGUGGGGCCUUAGUUCAUUCAGGUUGAACAUGAUGCAUGUCUACCGCGCCCGACGAAAGUCCGACGCACCCCUAACCGAACAACUGUUAACAAUGGAUAUCUUGGUUCUC
rnacentral:misc_RNA from 1 species